UACGUAGGGUGCGAGCGUUGUCCGGAAUUACUGGGCGUAAAGAGCUCGUAGGUGGUUUGUCGUGUUGUUCGUGAAAACUCACAGCUCAACUGUGGGCGUGCGGGCGAUACGGGCAGACUAGAGUACUGCAGGGGAGACUGGAAUUCCUGGUGUAGCGGUGGAAUGCGCAGAUAUCAGGAGGAACACCGGUGGCGAAGGCGGGUCUCUGGGCAGUAACUGACGCUGAGGAGCGAAAGCGUGGGGAGCGAACAGG
rnacentral:rRNA from 1 species